rnacentral:lncRNA from 1 species
CCCAGGUUCAAGUGAUUCUACUGUCUCAGGCUCCCAAGUAAUAAGGAUUACAGGUGCCUGCCACCACGCCUGGCUAAUUUUUGUAUUUUUAGUAGAGAUGGAGUUUCACCAUGUUGGCCAGGCUGGUCUCCAACUCCUAACCUCAAGUGAUUUGCCCACCUUGGCCUCCCAAAGUGCUGGGAUUACAGGCGUGAGCCACUGCACCUGGCCAACUGAUCUUGGAUUAAGUGGAGUCACCCUCUUCUUAUGUAGAGAGGAGAGAAAGGGAACAUUCAGAUGGCAGGUGGAGUGUGCAAUAGUUCAUAUAUCGCGGCUGCAUCUCUCUGUAAAUUACAACUCAAGUCAUUUUCUGAAGUUGAAGAAGUAGAGACAAUAGUGUUCGCUGAAAAUUGAGAGGUUUUUAAGUCCUGCAGAGGGCAAGUUACAUAAGUCAGCUGAUCAUAAGAGCACAAACUUAUAGCAGUAUCAGUGAAUUGCUGGCAUCUUGGAGCAACCCAGAUGCAGGCGUGGAGAAGUACACUGUUCUGUUCAUCUAGGGUUCAGCAUUUUCCACAACAAAAUGUACCUCAAAGACAAAUAGGCAAAGGAGUUUAGGGUACUGUCAUGUGAGUCAUCAGAAUGACAAGCAGGAACGUGAGCUGCGUGGAGCUGCUGGACAGGGAGACUGGAAAGGCUUAUAUGACGGUCGUGUUUUCUGUGCACAGCACAACCACACAGAGGCUGAGUCCUUCAGGCUCCCGUCAAGGCCCCACUGAGAGGGCAGCCCCGGGAGCUAGCCGGAGUCACUGCACCUGGCCUCCCAGGAUAUCUAUGUGUUUGAAGCCUCUGAAAUCAAUUUUUGCAUACAGAAGAAAACAAAAACAGCCACCCUGUACUGCACAACUAGUUGGGACAUCCUAGAAACAACAAAGAGUUCUUCAAAUGCAACAGUCUGGCCCGUCCUAAAGACACAGGAGAAUGUGAGGAAACCACAGUUAUUGCGCAGUCCUGCUCCUGUGCUCAGUGGAUUGGGAAAAAGAAGAAGAAGAGUAAAGUCUGUGUUGACUUGUUUCUGGUCAUUUUUAUUUACCACCCAAUUCCUACGUGAAUUGGGUUAUGCCAUUUGUAAUGCAAAUCAAAUAUUACGUUCGUUCAUGAUUUAUAUGAUACUAAAUAAAAUGAAAAUUAGGCAUGUAGCAUUCCCAAAUUCACCCAUUCAAUAAAUAUUUAUUAAGCACUACUUUUAUCAGGCAUGUCUCUGAUCAUCAAGGGUGUCAUCCUGUUUUGUGUGUUUGUUUUUUCAGAAACUGGGUCUUGCUCUGUUGCUCAGGCCGGUCUCAAACUCCUGGGCUCAAGUGAUCCUCCUGUUUCUGCCUCCUGAGUAGUUGGGACUACAGGUGCACAUCAUCAUGCCCAGCUCAUAAGGAUACCAUCUUGAAGAAGGCUGUGAGGUUCCUGCUUUCAUGGAACUUACACUGUAGUGAUUUUGUUGGGAUGAGUUUUAGCCUUUAGAAUUCAUGCACAGCAAAGGGAUGUUAUCCUUGAAGAAGAGUUCUAGAAUUCGCUCCAUUGCCAAUUUUCUUCUAAUUAAUACAAAUCUCUCAUGAACCGAAUUUAUCAUUUCUUCAAUUCCCUCAUGUACCAGGGUGGUAGGUUUAAUAAAAAUAAUUACUGUUAAUAUAGUUUAAGGUUUUCAGAUAAGGUCUUCAGAUAAGGCUUUCAGGUUUUUCUAUCUGACUUUGAGAUUCCCUAUCUGCUAAUUUGCAUGAGAGUUUUAAAAUAAUAAACUCUGAAAAUUCAUCUUGCAAAUAGGAACUAUGGGUAAUAGGUUUAUGAAUACAACAACAAAUAUUUUUAAUUGAAGUAUUAAUUAAAAAGGGCACAACAAUGGCAAAUAUUAGAAAUACAUGUAGUUUUCCAUUUAACUUA